rnacentral:rRNA from 1 species
CUUUUGUGGGGUGCUCGAGUGGCGAACGGGUGAGUAACACGUGAGUAACCUGCCCUUGACUUUGGGAUAACUUUAGGAAACUGGGGCUAAUACCGGAUAGGAGCUCCUGCUGCAUGGUGGGGGUUGGAAAGUUUCGGCGGUUGGGGAUGGACUCGCGGCUUAUCAGCUUGUUGGUGGGGUAGUGGCUUACCAAGGCUUUGACGGGUAGCCGGCCUGAGAGGGUGACCGGCCACAUUGGGACUGAGAUACGGCCCAG